GCCUAACGGCUGAACUGGCAACUUGGAGAAGUGGCAAGUUUUAUAAUUAAUAGUAAUGAAUAUUUCUAUUUUUAUAAAAUUCUAUUAGAAUUGAAUGAAGCUUUGUUUAUAUAUUGAUAAUGACAGUAUAUAUAUCGUGUCUUGACUAAUUGCGUGCCAGCAGUCGCGGUAAUACGUAAGAGACUAGUGUUAUUCAUCUUAAUUAGGUUUAAAGGGUACCCAGACGGUCAAUAUAUCUUCUAUAAUGUUAGUACUUGACUAGAGUUUUAUGUAAGAGGGCAGUACUUGAGGAGGAGAGAUGAAAUUUCGUGAUACCAAAGGGACUCUGUAAAGGCGAAGGCAGCCCUCUAUGUAGAAACUGACGUUGAAGGACGAAGGCACAGAGAACAAACAGGAUUAGAUACCCAAGUAGUCUUUGCAGUAAAUGAUGAAUGCCAUAGGUCAGAUCUAAAUUUCAUGUUUAUAUAUUAUAAAAGCGCCUGAAUUGGCAACUUUGCAAAAAAUUAUAAAUAUUCAAAAUUAUUUGGUCUAUAAAUGAAAGUGUAAGCAUUUCACCUCAAGAGUAAUGUGGCAACGCAGGAACUGAAAUCACUAGACCGUUUCUGACACCAGUAGUGAAGU
rnacentral:rRNA from 1 species